rnacentral:rRNA from 1 species
GACGAACGCUGGCGGCGUGCUUAACACAUGCAAGUCGAACGAAGUGGCGAACGGGUGAGUAACGCGUAAUCAACCUGCCCUUCAGAGGGGGACAACAGUUGGAAACGACUGCUAAUACCGCAUAAGGAUGAGCCCAAGUGGGAUUAGGUAGUUGGUGAGGUAAAGGCUCACCAAGCCGACGAUCUCUAGCUGGUCUGAGAGGAUGACCAGCCACACUGGGACUGAGACACGGCCCAGACUCCUACGGGAGGCAGCAGUGGGGAAUAUUGCGCAAUGGGGGCAACCCUGACGCAGCCAUGCCGCGUGAGUGAUGACGGCCUUCGGGUUGUAAAGCUCUGUUAAUCGGGACGCGGUACCGGAAUAGAAAGCCACGGCUAACUACGUGCCAGCAGCCGCGGUAAUAC